UUUUCAUUAUUCCAUUUCGACAGUUAAUCAAAGCAUUGGAAGUAGCUAGAAAUGGGCGGCCUAGAAUGACAGGUAUUGGAGUGGUACAAUUCAUGACAGGCUGGGUAUCUAAUACUAUGAAGUCGACUGAAAAAUAGAAUUUAUCAACUUGGACAAGUACAUCCUCGACUAUUCCUCUUGGUAUCUUUAUAGAUCGAUCGGCAAGUUGGAGAGUAACCUUGGUGGGUUUUAAUUCACCAAGUCCUAACUGUUCAUAAACUGAAUAGGGCAGUAAGUUAACACUAGCACCUAAAUCCAGAAGGGCUCGUUGUAUCCUGAAGUUUCCUAUGAUGCAAGAUAUGGUAGGACAACCAGGAUCUUUAUAUUUAGGCGGGGUGUUGUGUUUGAGAAUAGCACUCACUUGUUCAGU
rnacentral:lncRNA from 1 species